rnacentral:rRNA from 1 species
ACCUGCCGAAUCAACUAGCCCUGAAAAUGGAUGGGCCUUGAGCGUCGGACCUAUACCGGACCGUUGCGGCAGUCGCCGUGCGUCCUCGGGCGUGCGCAACGCCAGGCCGCAACGAGUAGGCAGGUCGCCGCGGUGAGCAUCGAAGCUUUGAGCGUGAGCUCGGGUGGAGCCGCCGCGGGUGCAGAUCUUGGUGGUAGUAGCAAAUAUUCAAACGAGAACUUUGAAGACUGAAGUGGAGAAGGGUCAUGUGAACAGCAGUUGAACAUGGGUCAGUCGAUCCUAAGCGAUAGGG